AUAUUAGACUGGACGGAAGAGAAGAGAAAAAAAUGGAACGGUUGAGAAAGAAAACGGCGACUAGGGUUUUCCUUUUCUCACUGUGCACGUAGUUGGCAUCUCCUGUUUCGACCACCACAUAGCAAGAAUUCAUUUUAGUUACUCGGCUAAAUGGAAAAAAAAUGAUAUCACGGAGUAACUAUAAGCUGGAGCUUGUAUGAGGCAUUUCAAACAGGAAUAGGAUUCAGAACAGACAAUCAACAUUUUAAGGUUGCUAUGCAAAACAUUUGAUGGAAAGAAAUCGUCAACACGAUGAAGUGAAAACUUGUUCCAGUUGCAAGGAGGGCUAAUAAUCACGGCUCAAGUUGAAAAGGAUAUGAAAUGAACAUGGACCAGUAGAGUGGAAAACUGGUGCUUCUAGUUAAGUGAAUAUUGCAAGGGCAGCAAAAUAGUUGUUGGACUUGAUCGAUACAGGUGUUUCAUAGAUCAUGUGCAAACAAGAAACUGCCUCUAAUCCCAUAAUAGAUACUUGCAAUGGUUUCUAGUGUGAAGGCUUUACUCCUAACGAAUCCUAUAAACUGAAAAUGUGGACUGAAGUCUGGACUGGCUGGUAACUAAUCAAAUUAUUAGUUCUUUUUUUAUACAUAUAUACUGAAAUUCUUUGUAAUCUUUUUUAUAUUUCAUUCCUUAGUGAUAACUGAUAAGACUCCUGAUUCUGAGUUGACUC